UCUCCGUUGGUGAACCAGCGGAGGGAUCAUUACCGAAGUUACCUUCAAAACCCACUGUGAGCCUUACCUCUUGCCGCGUUGUCUCGGCGGGAGGCGGUGUGCGUCGCGCGCCCUAGCGGGCCGCGCCGCUCCCGUCCCCGCCGGCAGCGCCAAACUCUAAAUGCACAGCGGACUGUACGUUCUGAUUUACAAAAAAAACAAGUUAAAACUUUCAACAACGGAUCUCUUGGUUCCG
rnacentral:misc_RNA from 1 species